GCUCUCCUACGGGACGCAGCAGUGGGGAAUAUUGGGCAAUGGGCGCAAGCCUGACCCAGCAAUGCCGCGUGAAGGAAGAAGGCCCUCGGGCUGUAAACUUCUUUUAUUCGGGACGAAACAAAUGACGGUACCGAAUGAAUAAGCCACGGCUAACUACGUGCCAGCAGCCGCGGUAAUACGUAGGUGGCAAGCGUUAUCCGGAUUUACUGGGUGUAAAGGGCGUGUAGGCGGGAGAGCAAGUCAGACGUGAAAUUCCAGGGCUCAACCCUGGAACUGCGUUUGAAACUGUUCUUCU
rnacentral:rRNA from 1 species